GCGGUUUCGUGUGCUCCACCGCACUGGUGGCGACAUCAUGUAUUCGCCGGAGAUGGCAAGUAAAAUAGUGGUCCUGUGCGCUAUACUCCACAAUAUCGCGGUAAGGAGUAGCGUAGAGCUUCCUCAGACAGAGGAAUUGCCUGAUGAGGAGCCAGGGGUUGUCCGACACUUCGGUGGGGGGAGUGUUACAAGGAGGGGGAGCCAAGUCAGGGCAAGCAUUGUUGCUGAAUUUUUCAGCUGAAAGACCACACAAACUGAGGACGACCACAACGGCAAGCACCACAUGAUGCACCAGCUCAGCACCCUUCCCCUUCUCACUCCCCCUCCACUUCCCAGUCCCCCUCCCCUUCUCACUCCCCCUCCCCUUCUCACUCCCCCUCCCCUUCUCACUCCCCCUCCCCUUCUCACUCCCCCUCAGCUUCCCAAUCCCCCUCAGCUUCCCAAUCACCCUCAGCUUCACAAUCCACCUCAGCUUCCCAGUCACCCUCAGCUUCCCAGGCCCCCUCAGCUUCCCAGGCCCCCUCAGCUUCCCAGGCCCACUCCACUUUCCACUCCCCUUCUCAGCCAACCUCUCCUUCUCUUUCUGUGACCCCUUCUCCUCCUUCCCAUACCCCUUCUCCUUCUACUUCCAACUCACCUUCUCAGCCCCCCUCACCCUCUAUUGGCCUAACAUUUUCACCGCCCCCCUCGCCCUCUCAAUCAGACCCACCCUCUGAAAUUACAUCCCCAAUCCAACCUCCUUCCCCCAUCCAGCCUCCUUCCCCCAUCAAGCCUCCUUCCCCCAUCCAGCCUCCUUCCCCCAUCCAGCCUCCUUCCCCAAUCCCUCCUCCUUCCCCCAUCCAGCCGCCUUCCCCCAUCCAGCCGCCAUCCCCACCCAGUGAAUGGGCAGAGGAAGCCCCUGAAGACAGUUCAGGGAGUCUUCAUGUUGCCGAGGAAAAUGUUGCAGUUGGAGAUCCUACAAGUUUUGGAGGCAUUCUUUACACCAUGCGCCAACACCUGCAAGGAUUAAUGCAUUGUGUUGAUAAUUUGCAAAAAUUUGCAUGAUUUUGUUUAUU